AAACUGCGAAUGGCUCAUUAUAUCAGUUAUAGUCUACUCGAUAGUACCUUACUACUUGGAUACCCGUAGUAAUUCUAGAGCUAAUACAUGCAUCAAUACCCAACUGCUUGUCGGGCGGGUAGCAUUUAUUAGAUUGAAACCAAUGCAGUCUUCGGGCUGGUAUUGUGUUGAGUCAUAAUAACUGUGCGGAUCGCGCUUUUGCGCGAUAAAUCGAUUGAGUUUCUGCCCUAUCAGCUUUGGAUGGUAGGAUAUGGGCCUACCAUGGCAUUAACGGGUAGACGGGGAAUUAGGGUUUGAUUCCGGAGAGGGAGCCUUGUGGGGAACGGCUACCACAUCCAAGGAA